UACGAAGGGGGCGAGCGUUGUUCGGAAUCACUGGGCGUAAAGGGCGCGUAGGCGGCCCUCUUAGUCGCGUGUGAAAGCCCCGGGCUCAACCUGGAGACGCCACCCGAUACUGCUGUGGCUAGAGUCCGGUAGGGGAGCGUGGAAUUCCUGGUGUAGCGGUGAAAUGCGCAGAUAUCAGGAGGAACACCAGCGGCGAAGGCGGCGCUCUGGGCCGGAACUGACGCUGAGGAGCGAAAGCGUGGGGAGCAAACAGG
rnacentral:rRNA from 1 species